AAAAGGUUUAAAUAGGUUUAAUGUUUCGAGUCUUCGACUGGUAUUGUUAAGAAAAUUCUAUGGAAGGGACUGUUUUGAAUAAAUGGGGUCAAGGUUUGUGGAUUGGGAUUGAUUUUUAAGAUAAAUAUGGCAGUAGGGGGUUCUUUUGUAAAUGUAUCAAAGUUGAAAGAAAAUUAGGGCUUAUAUGUAAAGAAAUAUCAUGGAAGGCUUAUUAGGUUUAAUGGCCAAACUUUAAUUAAUCUAGGGCUUUUAUGCCCCGUCGUCAUCAGUUGCUUGAUCAAAAGAAGAGUCUUGAACGAAAUCGACGACGAUCUGAAAGGAACACGACGGCAGACGAGGGAAACACAAAAUCAGGUGAGGGGUCCGAUGGUUGCUGGUCAAUCGCAGGUGGAGGAUAGAUAGGCCGCUCCCCGGCGAUCUUGUGGUUUAAUCGUUGUCAUUUGUUUGAGCGGGUAAAGAAAAGGAACGAGAACGAACAAUCGAUGGGUCGAAAGGUAGCACGAAGGUUCGUCGCCCGACUCGCCCUCGGUGAUGGCCUCCGGCGCUCGAUUAGACUGAAGAAGGAGAAGGAUCGAAGCAGCGAGGCGGCUAUGAUCUCGGACGAGAAGGAAGAGACGAAGCAGCGGGACUGAUCGUCUUCUGUCUUGGAAGUAGUUGCGAAGGGGAAAGAGGUCCGAUGGGGGUCUGGGAGGCGUCGCGAGCAGCAGUAGCGACGAUGACGGGGUGUUCGGUUGGUUUGCUCGACGGGAGGGGAAGAGGACUGCGAGGGUUCGGUGUGUCUGCUGCUUCGAUCGGUUUCAAGUUCUCUCUUUUUUUUUUUGAGAUUUUUUUUCUUUUUUUUUUUGUUUGAUAGAAAUCAUUGGGGUGUUUGGGUUUUCCUGGAAAAUCGAUGAUAAUGAAGGGGAUAUGGGUUUAAUUUUUGACAGAAAUCCAUGUGUGUUUGGAUUGGGUGUUUGAGCUUUGGUAUUUUGACAGGGAAAAUGAAGAAUAUCAGGGUUCUUCUCUUUGUUGAUGAUGUUUGAUCUUGGUUGGAUACGAAGAAGAAGACAGAAAGAAGAAAUAUGGAGUAGUUUGCGUGUUGAUUCUUUUUAUCAUUGUAUUGAUUGUUCAUUUUGACAUUGUACAGGUUGUUAGUGUGGUUUUGUCUAUUAUUUAUGUAUGGUGUAGGAUUAUCCGAGUCCCUUGUAUGUACACUUAGACUAGUUUUUUUUUUUUUUUUUGAAACAGCGAAUACCAUGCGGAAGCCUUCCUCCUUUUUUUCAGCGGAAGUCCGGGUCCGGGUUCGAGUUCUUUUACAUGGCAAAC
rnacentral:lncRNA from 1 species